UACGUAGGCAGCGAGCGUUGUUCGGAAUUACUGGGCGUAAAGAGUGUGUAGGCGGUGCUCUAAGUUCGGUGUGAAAUCUCCUGCUUAACUGGGAGGGUGCGCCGGAAACUGGAGUGCUUGAGCGUGGGAGAGGAAAGCGGAAAUUCCUGGUGUAGCGGUGAAAUGCGUAGAUAUCAGGAGGAACACCUGUGGUGUAGACGGCUUUCUGGACCAUAGCUGACGCUGAGACACGAAAGCGUGGGUAGCAAACAGG
rnacentral:rRNA from 1 species